rnacentral:misc_RNA from 1 species
AACGCACAUUGCGCCCUUUGGCAUUCCGAAGGGCAUGCCUGUUCGAGCGUCAUUACACCAAUCACGCCUGGCGUGGUAUUGGGCGACGGGGUGGCGACACCCCCCGCCCCAAUGACGACCGGCGAGACGGACCGAAUCUCAGCGUUGUGAAUCAAAAGCCGCUGGCGAGACGGGACGGCUGUGCCGUAAAACAACCCCAUAUCACAGGUUGACCUCGGAUCAGGUAGGGAUACCCGCUGAACUUAA